rnacentral:lncRNA from 1 species
AGGCCCGGGGGCCCCUCCGGCAGAUUCCCCUAGGGUCUAGGGGUGCCAGGGACGUGAGAUGGGCGGUGCAGGCCUUAGUCAGUGGAAGCCUCAAGGAGGGCAUCGUGUUAAGGUGGAGGCUCUGCAGAAGAGGGCGGCCUGUGUGGAGAGCAGGGAGACAACCCUGGGGGAAGAGGCAUGCCAGUGGGGGAUGACAUCAUGGCAGAGAUGGAGGUGGUGGCCAAGGAGGAGGCCAAUGUGGAGCGGCAGCAGGAGGCCCAGCAGGCCCAGCCUGGCCUUGGCCCUAGUAUGCCCCCGCCGGCAACGGACUCGCUGGACGUCCUUCACGUGGAGCUGGGCUCGGUAAAUGCCCCAGGCCGCGGGACAUCCCCGGCUUCUGGGCCAGAGCCAUAUUUCAUCACAAUCUUUACUUCCACAAUGAAGUGACCAUUCAGGAGUAUUGCAUUGGCAUCCUAGGUGAUACAGGGAGUCUCAUUCCACUGCAGUCCAGUGGUUGUGGGAUCAUGAAGGUCAAGCCUCCAGCUGCAGGCAGUACACUUCCUACCUGAGCUUCUUCAGCCCAUUGGCUGACUGUGACUGCCCAGGUUCUGGCAGGAUUCCUGAG